UUGAGCGGAGUGCUGGGAAACUCGCAUGCUCCGUUCUUAGGGGGCCGUGCCGCAGCAAUGCGGUACGGCUACCCGAC
rnacentral:ncRNA from 1 species